rnacentral:lncRNA from 1 species
AGGCAUUUCCUGAGUCCUGACUCAAACACGGACGCUCAAACAAGUCGAUCGCCAUCACUGACACAAAACACAUUCGACACCCAUCAAGGUGCCAAAUUCGCAGGAGGUUCAGCUACUGGAUACAGAAUUCGCAGGUAAUCGAUCACCAAUGCACUUCAACGGCCAUAAACAGGAAUGCCUAGAUAGUGCUCUCGACCAGAUCUAUGAGCGUCUUGGUCACUUCCUUGAUCAGGUCGCAGCGGCGCUGAAUCACCUUAGCCUGAUGCAGCCUCUGCCUCUUGAUCUUCGUGUCCAGCGCGCGCGCCUUGUCAUCGUCUAUCAUCCCGAACUCCCGCUUGAACAAGCCCGGGUGCGCCUUCUGCAGCGCCUUCACCUCCUCCGCUAGGUACGGGUACAGCUCGCACAUCUCGGCGACCUCCCUCCGCGCGCCGCCGUUCGCCGCCGCGGUCGUGGAGCCCCAGACGCUCUUGGAGAGGUCGAAGAGCCGGCGGUCGUGAUCCUUGCUCGGUCGCUCGCCCUUAUUGGCAGCCAAGCUGUACCGGCGCUUCAGGCUCUUGAGCUUACCCUGCAGCAACGCGAUGCUGCUGCCACUGUUGUCGAGGGUGCCAGCGAGCGUGGCGGCGAGAGCGUCGACCUGCGGCAGCGUGCCGUGCUCACGGCGGUGCGCGGCCAGGGCCUCCAGGAUGCGGACCUCGUCGUCCGUCGACCAGGUGCGCUGGAAGGGUGCGCCCGGCUUCUUGUCCUCGCUCG